UUUGGAUGAUGAUGAUGAUGAUGAUGAUGAUGAUUAUCAUCAUCAUCAUCAUUAUUGGCU
rnacentral:miRNA from 1 species